GCGUAAGGGCUCGCAGGCGGUUUCUUAAGUCUGAUGUGAAAGCCCCCGGCUCAACCGGGGAGGGUCAUUGGAAACUGGGAAACUUGAGUGCAGAAGAGGAGAGUGGAAUUCCACGUGUAGCGGUGAAAUGCGUAGAGAUGUGGAGGAACACCAGUGGCGAAGGCGACUCUCUGGUCUGUAACUGACGCUGAGGAGCGAAAGCGUGGGGAGCGAACAGGAUUAGAUACCCUGGUAGUCCACGCCGUAAACGAUGAGUGCUAAGUGUUAGGGGGUUUCCGCCCCUUAGUGCUGCAGCUAACGCAUUAAGCACUCCGCCUGGGGAGUACGGUCGCAAGACUGAAACUCAAAGGAAUUGACGGGGGCCCGCACAAGCGGUGGAGCAUGUGGUUUAAUUCGAAGCAACGCGAAGAACCUUACCAGGUCUUGACAUCCUCUGACAACCCUAGAGAUAGGGCUUCCCCUUCGGGAACAGAGUGACAGGUGGUGCAUGGUUGUCGUCAGCUCGUGUCGUGAGAUGUUGGGUUAAGUCCCGCAACGAGCGCAACCCUUGAUCUUAGUUGCCAUCAUUCAGUUGGGCACUCUAAGGUGACUGCCGGUGACAAACCGGAGGAAAGUGGGGAUGACGUCAAAUCAUCAUGCCCCUUAUGACCUGGGCUACACACGUGCUACAAUG
rnacentral:rRNA from 1 species